rnacentral:rRNA from 1 species
GAUGAACGCUGGCGGCGUGCCUAACACAUGCAAGUCGAACGGAACUUUUACGGAUUGAGGCUUCGGCCGAUUGAGGUUUAAGUUUAGUGGCGGACGGGUGAGUAACGCGUGAGUAACCUGCCUUUCACAGGGGGAUAACGUUUGGAAACGAACGCUAAUACCGCAUAACGUAGCGGGGUCGCAUGGCUCUGCUACCAAAGAUUUUAUCGGUGAAAGAUGGACUCGCGUCCGAUUAGGUAGUUGGUGAGGUAACGGCCCACCAAGCCGACGAUCGGUAGCCGGACUGAGAGGUUGAACGGCCACAUUGGGACUGAGACACGGCCCAGACUCCUACGGGAGGCAGCAGUGGGGAAUAUUGCACAAUGGGGGAAACCCUGAUGCAGCGACGCCGCGUGAGCGAAGAGUAUUCCGGUAUGUAAAGCUCUAUCAGCAAGGAGAAAAUGACGGUACUUGACUAGAAGCCCCGGCUAACUACGUG